AUGAGGCGCUCGCGGGAUUGGAUCGCCGAUGGGUUGGCGCUCAGACCACACAUCGCCAGCAAAACGGAGGGCACGCUGACUCACUUCACUGCCACUACUAGUUCACUUCCUUCGGAUCUCGCUCGUGCCUCCAAGCUCUCUUCCACGGCCUCGAAGAUGUCGACGGUGACCCCUGCCUACCUCGACCAGAGGCUCACCGCCGCCAAGCGCUGCUCCAGAGAGGCUGCCAUAGCGGGAGCCAAGGCCGCGGCCGUCGCCACCGUCGCUGCCGCAGUCCCCACCCUGGCGAGGAGAGCAUUUGGGUGCUCUAGCUCACCUCCUAUGCACACGAGGUGUUCGAUGAAAUGCCCAAGCCACGCUAGUUAA
rnacentral:rRNA from 1 species